GCCGCAGAUAUUCUGUGCUAAGGUAGCAUAAUAAUUUGCUUUCUAAUUAAAAGAUAGAAUGAAAGGAACCACGACUUGACAACUUUUCCUUACUUAAUUUAUAAACCUUACAAAAAUGUAAAAAGGCAUUUAUCAUCAAGAAGGACGACAAGACCCUAUAGAACUUUACUUUUAAGUUUUGCUGGGGCAGCAAAAAACUAUCACUUUUCAUUUAUUCCCAAUAUCGACCUAAUAUUAUUAACAAUUAAAACAAGUUACCUUAGGGAUAACAGCACAAUUUUAUUUUCAAGUACAUAUCUAAAAUAAAGAUUAUGACCUCGAUGUUGAAUUAAUUUAUCUUAUUCAAGCAAAAAUAAAUAUAGUAGGUCUGUUCGACCUUUAAAAAAUUACAUGAUUUGAGUUCAGACCGGCGCAAGCCAGGUCAGAUUCUAUCCUCUUUCAAUUAAAUACAGUACGAAAGGACCUAUUUUCAAAUA
rnacentral:rRNA from 1 species